UAUNGCCUUUUAAAGAUGUCGCAAUUCAAUAGUUUUACGCAAUGUCUUCAUUUAGUUGCGUUUUUCUCCGUUCUCAAAAUCCGUUAAAAACAUCAAAUAAUAAAAAAAAAAAUUCUGACGACAUAUUAUCAUAUAUAGAUAAAAUGUAGUCCAGAAUUGUAGAAAAGUCUAAGAAUUUUAUUCUUGAAAUUUCAUGAACUCGAUGAUAAAAAAAGUUUGAAAAAACAAAGGUUUAAAAAAUCAUUUGCUCUAAAGAUUACGCCUUCACUGAUAUCUAAAAAAAAAAAUUUUUUUUUAAAUAUGUUUUGCAUAUUGGCUUAUAAAAUAUUUUACACGAGCGGUUUAUUAACAAUGUAAGAUAUAAAAGCUGAAUUAAUCAUAUUUCUUAUUGAAAAUGCAUAUUAACUAAAUCCUCAAGGAUUUAUGCAUUAUCAAGACUUCAUGUAUCUGACAGAGCAAUCAGAUUGUUAAAUGAAAUCAUUGAUACGAACAAAAGGUUCCAUUUUCUACAAGUUUUAUCCCCAUCAUUUCUCUGGUGUUUCUAGUUUAAGAAGAUGUAAAAUUUAUGAAAAGUUCCAUUUAUCUCUUUUGUUGUUGUGUCGUAAUAUAUGUACCGUAGUUGAUAAUAAAUUCUAUUUCCCUUUAAUGUAAGAAUUCAGUUCAUUGUUCCUGUACAGAAAGGUGCAAUAAAAGUUGUUAUUGUAAA